rnacentral:rRNA from 1 species
AUUGAACGCUGGCGGCAGGCCUAACACAUGCAAGUCGAGCGAGCGGCGGACGGGUGAGUAAUGUAUGGGGACUGCCCGAUAGCGGGGGGUAACUACUUGAAACGGUAGCUAAUACCGCAUACUAUCUGAUAUCCCAUAUGGGAUUAGCUAGUAGGUGAGGUAAUGGCUCACAUGGGCGACGAUCCCUCGCUGGUCUGAGAGGAUGAUCAGCAACCCUGUGACGAAAACACGGCCAAGACUCCUCCGGAGGAAGCAGGGGGAAAUAUUGGAGAAUGGGCGCAAGCCGGAUGCAGCAAGGCCGGGUGUAUGAAAAAGUCUCUGGGGUUGUAAAGUACGUUCAGACGGGAGGCGUUACCGACAGAAGAAGCACCGGCUAACUCCGUGCCAGCCGCCGCGGUAAUUC